CCGCUGUUCGUGCGUAAGAUGGCCACCGCCACGUGUUCGGAAUGCGAAUGGCGGCGCACACGAACCUUCCAUUAGCACCCUUUGCAACAUUGUUGCCUUCGUUAAUGAGGGACACACAACCACACCGGGGUGGUCCCUCAUUCGGUAUUUUACAGGCUUUCGUGUAAACCACAGUACAGGUAGUUAGUGAACCUAUUUACUGUUGAUUACUGCCUUAAUACUUAUACGGC